AGAAUCAACGCUGGCGGCGUGCCUAAUACAUGCAAGUCGAACGCGAAAGUCCCGCAAGGGGCAAGUAGAGUGGCAAACGGGUGAGUAACGCGUGGGCGACCUACCUUCGAGUGGGGGAUAACCUUCCGAAAGGAGGGCUAAUACCGCAUGACAUCCUGUGUUUAGAUACACGGAAAUCAAAGCUGGGGAUCGCAAGACCUGGCGCUUGGAGAGGGGCCUGCGUCCGAUUAGCUAGUUGGUGGGUAAUGGCCCACCAAGGCUUCGAUCGGUA
rnacentral:rRNA from 1 species